rnacentral:piRNA from 1 species
UGAUUACGAAGGCUUUUCUCUGGAAGAAAC